GCAAACUUGGUCAUUUAGAGGAAGUAAAAGUCGUAACAAGGUUUCCGUAGGUGAACCUGCGGAAGGAUCAUUAUUGAAUACAAUUGGUUAGAUUGUUUGCUGGCUUUUAAGGAGCAUUGUGCACAUCUAAUCCAUUUUUAAUUCCCUGUGCAUCUUUGUGUAGGCCUGUAUAGCAAUUUGAGUCGGUUACGACCCAGUUUAGAAACUGCUGUAAUUUAUACAGCUUUUUCUUGUAUUUUCAGGUUCUAUGUCUAUAUAAAAUACCCCCUUUAUUGGAAGGUGCUGUAUGAAAUUUAAAACCAAAUACAACUUUCAACAACGGAUCUCUUGGCUCUCGCAUCGAUGAAGAACGCAGC
rnacentral:misc_RNA from 1 species